CCCUGCGUGGGUGUGUCCCGCGGCUAUAAGCCUUGCGGGGCGGGCGGGCGCGCAGGGGCGGCUCUCACUCCUGCAGCCAUGCCGCCGAAGAAGUACCUUCCCGCGGGCAAGAAGCGCAGCGCCGACUCCGGUGUGGAGACAGAGCGGGGCGCGCUGACCCAGGAGCAGAAGGACCAGCGGAUCAGCCUCUUCCUCAGGGGCUUCAACCAGCAGGCCAAAGAGAAUCUUCAAGAAAUGAAGAAAGAAAUUGAUUCACUUUUGCAAACAGCUGAGAAAACAUUUAGAGUGGAGUUACUGAAGAUGCCAGUUGCUGUCAGAAAAAUGAAAAGAAAAGACUUGCUUAACCUGCAAGGAGGAGAGGAAGCUGCUGUUGUAGCUGCCGCUGUUGUAGCAAAUGACUGCUCUGUAGAGGACAUUCCAAAUACCAGGCUGGUGAGGAAUUGCAGCAAAAGAGUUAAAGUAACUACAAUUGUUGAAUAUAAAGACGACGAGACUGUGCCUGCCAGGAAAGCAUCUCAAAAGGUGUCUAAAACAAAAUCACUGGUUUCUUUAGCUUCUGGCACACAUCUCAAAGAAAACCAUUCUCUUUCGAGAUCUGCAUGCUCUACUCCAAAUGUGAGGCAUUUUAAGGCUCUUACAUCUGAUCGCACAGCUGCAAACUAUAAAUCUGCUCCACGUGUUUCUAGAAGACUACCACAAAUGGCUGUCUCAAGAACUGUACCUAUGAGAGAGAAAGUCCAAGCCAUGUCACUAAGAAGUAACUCGGUGCCUCGGGAAAAAGCUGUUCCAUUUGUUAAUAUACCUCUGGCUGAUGGAAAGACUCUCUGUUCUGCUGGUGAAGACCUCCAUAACAUCAAUGUCGAGUUGCUUAAUGAUGACACAGUUCAGCAUAUUCAUAAUCUAGUGGUUAACAGAAGCAGAGAGCAGUUUACAGCAAGUGAAGAUUGAGGGAGAUUCCCCAUUUUCAUCUGACAGCCUUUGAAAAAAAAAAACAAACAGCUGGCUUUAUACUCAGCUUUACUUACUGCAUGCCAGGGUUGAAGCAGGUGCACAACAACAAGGACAGGACAUUCAUAGUGGUGCUUUCAGCCUGGGAAAGAUCAGCUCUAUAGGGAUGGGACAGGAAGACCCUAACGGAGCCUGUGCUGUUGCUGAAAGUUUGCAGCAACAGUGUUUCUUUUGUUAAGGAAAUCCUCUAGCAUUCCCACACUACAUAAACAUUUGAACUUAUGAACCCUCUGACCCCCUAGCUACAGGAAAAUACAUAUUUCCAUGGCAACACACACCAUGUGUUGAAGGGCUGAAUAGAAACCUUUGUAUCUAACUGGACACACUGAAAAUACAUCUGAUGAAACCAAAAAAGUCUAUUUUUCCCAUGACCAUGCUUUCUACUUGGUCAAAAAGAAAGUUGGCAGGUAUGUUUUCAUUUAUAGGAAUAUACUUAAUAGACGCUCACUGUAAAUAUAUAAAAUGUUUAUGCAAAUACCUGUAUGUUCAAUAAUUUAAAGAGAAAAUACCAAUAUUACCAUAGUGUGAAAUGCGCAAUAUAUUUUAAAUAUGACUGUCUUGAGCUGCAGAAAGAAAUAAAGUUGCGUGCUUAUUUACAAGAUUCUCUCAUACAGAUGAGGGAAUAUGUAAAUAUAUUCCACAUAAACAUGUAUACAUAUACAUAUUCUCUCUCCAUCUGCUUCCUCCCCCACAAUUUAGCAAUGGUCACAAAUGAACACAUCUAUAAUAUACGAAGUAUGACACACUGAACCCUGAACAAACUUUACGGAAUUAAGAUAAAGUUUAUUGAAUUAAGUUAAACCUGACUGAACUAGGGUCAGUACUUUGGGGUACACAGUAUAAAAAAUGCAAGUGUGUGUUAUUGGGGCAGUGUAUUUACCUUCUUUAGUAGGGAAAGGAGGAUGCUAAUGUACUUCCUCCAUUACCAACCCUUUGAAGCCACUCACCUGGAGAAAUCUGCACAUACUAGUUCAAACCGGAAUCUCCAGGGACCAGACAAAGUAAGGUUUUUUGGACAAAUAGCCUGGUUUUAAAUUGGCUUAGGGUCUUCUACCUGAUACAGCAAAUGGACAGGAUCCCUGGUCCAUGGAGGGCUUCAAUCCUUUCAGGAGGGUUGGAAGGACAGUGCCUCCUGAGGCCUCAUUAAGACAGUGCUUAUUCUAAGCUGAAGCUGUGAUUAACUUGUAACCACAAGGAAUCCCCCUUAUGUGGGGUCUGAAGGACUGUUCCUGCCAGAAUCCAUGUUAGGAUUGGGGUGAACUCUGGUAAGCUUAUUAGCACACAUAUAGGUUCUUUUACUGUUUUCAGUGUGGAAUGCUUUUUGCCUUAAGAAUAAAGUAGGCUUGCAUAGGAAGUGUUGUGUGGUGCCUUAUAACUGUAACAAUUAUACCUAUCAGUCUCUGCAGAGAAAGCAGACAGGCAUACCUGGGCAGCCUGUCUCUGCUGGGAAUGACACAGUGAAGGUAUGGAAUUGUGCAGCCUGGAAAUGCCAUGGUCAAAAGGGAGAGAGAAACAUGCCUCCACCCAAGACAGAUGACAACUGGAGUGUCUGGAAACUAAAGUAUCUGCCCUUGAUGGACAAUAGAGGGGGAACACAGCUGCAAUUGCCCUGAGCAGACACACCAAGUUCUGAAUAUGCUACUCUGCUCUUCAGAUAAUCAAAUGUAACUAGCUACACAUGAAAAGAAAAGACCUUUUCUGUUAGCAUUUUUAUCAAUUAAUUAUUCUAUAAUCAUUCCACAUCAUUCAUUCAUAUUCCAUGACACAGAAUUACAGUUCUGCAUCCAUAGUAUCAUUUGCAAAAUCUACUUCAAACAAUGA